rnacentral:rRNA from 1 species
GGGCCCGCACAAGCGGUGGAGCAUGUGGUUUAAUUCGAUGAUACGCGAGGAACCUUACCAGGGCUUAAAUGUAGUGGGACAGGUCUAGAGAUAGACCCUUCUUCGGACUCAUUACAAGGUGCUGCAUGGUUGUCGUCAGCUCGUGCCGUGAGGUGUCAGGUUAAGUCCUAUAACGAGCGCAACCCCUAUCGUUAGUUGCCAGCGAGUAAUGUCGGGAACUCUAACGAAACUGCCAGUGCAAACUGUGAGGAAGGUGGGGACGACGUCAAGUCAUCAUGCCCCUUAUGUCCAGGGCUGCACACGUCCUACAAUGGUACGGACAAACGGACGCGAAACCGCGAGGUGGAGCAAAUCCUAAAAACCGUGCCUCAGUUCGGAUUGCAGGCUGCAACUCGCCUGCAUGAAGCCGGAAUCGCUAGUAA